UACAGAGGUGGCAAGCGUUGUUCGGAAUUACUGGGCGUAAAGGGCGCGUAGGCGGCCCACUAAGUCAGACGUGAAAUCCCCCGGCUUAACCUGGGAACUGCGUCUGAUACUGGAGGGCUUGAGUAUGGGAGAGGGAUGUAGAAUUCCAGGUGUAGCGGUGAAAUGCGUAGAUAUCUGGAGGAACACCGGUGGCGAAGGCGGCAUCCUGGACCAAUAUUGACGCUGAGGAGCGAAAGCCAGGGGAGCAAACGGG
rnacentral:rRNA from 1 species